UAUAAGGUUUCAUUCAAAUCCUAAGUUUACCAACAUACUUGGGGUAUAUGAAUAACAUAUAGGACCAGAUUGUGCAGAGUUCCCUCUAGCAAAUAUCAGGCCUACAAAGAUGCACAACGUGGUAAUAAAGUUUGGUGUAUCAGGCAUGCACAUACUCUAAUAAGAGUCAGCAGCAACCCAACCAAGCUUAUUAUUCAAUAAUGAUCCUUCCGCAGGUUCACCUACGGAAA
rnacentral:misc_RNA from 1 species